GACGAACGCUGGCGGCGUGCCUAAUACAUGCAAGUCGAACGCUGAAACUUGGUGCUUGCACCGAGCGGAUGAGUUGCGAACGGGUGAGUAACGCGUAGGUAACCUGCCUGGUAGCGGGGGAUAACUAUUGGAAACGAUAGCUAAUACCGCAUAAGAGUAGAUGUUGCAUGACAUUUGCUUAAAAGGUGCAAUUGCACCACUACCAGAUGGACCUGCGUUGUAUUAGCUAGUUGGUGGGGUAACGGCUCACCAAGGCGACGAUACAUAGCCGACCUGAGAGGGUGAUCGGCCACAAUGGGACUGAGACACGGCCCAGACUCCUACGGGAGGCAGCAGUAGGGAAUCUUCGGCAAUGGACGGAAGUCUGACCGAGCAACGCCGGGUGAGUGAAGAAGGUUUUCGGAUCGUAAAGCUCUGUUGUAAGAGAAGAACGGGUGUGAGGGUGGAAAGUUCACACUGGGACGGUAUUUGACCAGAAAGGGACGGCUAACUACGU
rnacentral:rRNA from 1 species